rnacentral:rRNA from 1 species
AUUGAACGCUGGCGGCAUGCCUUACACAUGCAAGUCGAACGGCAGCACGGGGCAACCUGGUGGCGAGUGGCGAACGGGUGAGUAAUGCAUCGGAACGUACCUUUCAGUGGGGGAUAACGUAGCGAAAGUUACGCUAAUACCGCAUAUUCUGUGAGCAGGAAAGCAGGGGAUCGCAAGACCUUGCGCUGAUUGAGCGGCCGAUGUCAGAUUAGCUAGUUGGUGAGGUAAAGGCUCACCAAGGCGACGGUCUGUAGCGGGUCUGAGAGGAUGAUCCGCAACACUGGAACUGAGACACUGUCCAGACUCCUACGGGAGGCAGCAGUGGGGAAUUUUGGACAAUGGGGGCAACCCUGAUCCAGCCAUGCCGCGUGAGUGAAGAAGGCCUUCGGGUUGUAAAGCUCUUUCGGCCGGGAAGAAAUCGCACGGGCUAAUACCCUGUGUGGAUGACGGUACCGGAAUAAGAAGCACCGGCUAACUACGUGCCAGCCGCCGCGGUAAAAC